AGAGGUAUUAGUAAAAUUUACAUGACCUUGUCAAGGUCAAAUUAUAGGUGAAAACCCUAUAUACCUC
rnacentral:tRNA from 1 species